rnacentral:rRNA from 1 species
GAUGAACGCUGGCGGCGUGCCUAAUACAUGCAAGUAGAACGCUGAAGGAGGAGCUUGCUCUUCUGGAAGAGUUGCGAACGGGUGAGUAACGCGUAGGUAACCUGCCUCUUAGCGGGGGAUAACUAUUGGAAACGAUAGCUAAUACCGCAUAAAAGUCGACAUUGCAUGAUGUUGACUUGAAAGGUGCAAUUGCAUCACUAAGAGAUGGACCUGCGUUGUAUUAGCUAGUUGGUGGGGUAACGGCUCACCAAGGCGACGAUACAUAGCCGACCUGAGAGGGUGAUCGGCCACACUGGGACUGAGACACGGCCCAGACUCCUACGGGAGGCAGCAGUAGGGAAUCUUCGGCAAUGGACGGAAGUCUGACCGAGCAACGCCGCGUGAGUGAAGAAGGUUUUCGGAUCGUAAAGCUCUGUUGUAAGAGAAGAACGAGUGUGAGAGUGGAAAGUUCACACUGUGACGGUAUCU